rnacentral:rRNA from 1 species
GACGAACGCUGGCGGCGUGCUUAACACAUGCAAGUCGAACGGAAAGGCCCUGCUUUUGUGGGGUGCUCGAGUGGCGAACGGGUGAGUAACACGUGAGUAACCUGCCCUUGACUUUGGGAUAACUUCAGGAAACUGGGGCUAAUACCGGAUAGGAGCUCCUGCUGCAUGGUGGGGGUUGGAAAGUUUCGGCGGUUGGGGAUGGACUCGCGGCUUAUCAGCUUGUUGGUGGGGUAGUGGCUUACCAAGGCUUUGACGGGUAGCCGGCCUGAGAGGGUGACCGGCGACAUUGGGACUGAGGUACGGCCCAGACUCCUACGGGAGGCAGCAGUGGGGAAUAUUGCACAAUGGGCGGAAGCCUGAUGCAGCAACGCCGCGUGCGGGAUGACGGCCUCCGGGUUGUAAACCGCUUUCGCCUGUGACGAAGCGUGAGUGACGGUAAUGGGUAAAGAAGCACCGGCUAACUACGUG